GCGGAAUUUUUGUGUAUAGAGUGGAGCUAAUGCAGUCGAGCGAGCUUGCCUAGAUGAUUUUAGUGCUUGCACUAAAUGAAACUAGAUACAAGCGACCGUCGGACGGGUGAGUAACACGUGGGUAACCUGCCCAAGAGACUGGGAUAACACCUGGAAACAGAUGCUAAUACCGGAUAACAACACUAGACGCAUGUCUAGAGUUUGAAAGAUGGUUCUGCUAUCACUCUUGGAUGGACCUGCGGUGCAUUAGCUAGUUGGUAAGGUAACGGCUUACCAAGGCAAUGAUGCAUAGCCGAGUUGAGAGACUGAUCGGCCACAUUGGGACUGAGACACGGCCCAAACUCCUACGGGAGGCAGCAGUAGGGAAUCUUCCACAAUGGACGAAAGUCUGAUGGAGCAACGCCGCGUGAGUGAAGAAGGGUUUCGGCUCGUAAAGCUCUGUUGGUAGUGAAGAAAGAUAGAGGUAGUAACUGGCCUUUAUUUGACGGUAAUUACUUAGAAAGUCACGGCUAACUACGUGCCAGCAGCCGCGGUAAUACGUAGGUGGCAAGCGUUGUCCGGAUUUAUUGGGCGUAAAGCGAGUGCAGGCGGUUCAAUAAGUCUGAUGUGAAAGCCUUCGGCUCAACCGGAGAAUUGCAUCAGAAACUGUUGAACUUGAGUGCAGAAGAGGAGAGUGGAACUCCAUGUGUAGCGGUGGAAUGCGUAGAUAUAUGGAAGAACACCAGUGGCGAAGGCGGCUCUCUGGUCUGC
rnacentral:rRNA from 1 species